UAAAAUAAAAUAAGGUUUCACAAAAAAAAGAAAAACGUACGUCUCUCUACCCUUUGCCCUAUCUCUCUAGACUUCUAUGUUCUACAAAUACUUUCAUGAUAGACUGUCAUUGCUGAAAGUAAGGAUCAUUGGAACUGAGUGGCCAUUAGAAUUGGCAAUCAGAAACUUCAAUGAAGCUACUCACACAAGAACGUUGGCCAACCAAGGAAGGAAUCUUUGAAGUUGCUUUCAAACGACUAACGAGGUAGCUUAUGCUUUUUUUUUUUUUUUUUUCCCCCUCACUAUCUGGUUUAUAGUCGAAUCUGGAAAAUAUGAACUCAGUCCUUUUGAUGAGAGAUAUGAACAAGAGGCUUCGAAAAAACUAGUCUUUUUCUGAAAUAUAUGAAGCCCCUUUUUUUUUUUUUUUGUUUCAAUUGCUAUCUCGAUAGAAUUUGGUUAGAAUCCUCUGCCUUGCCACCGCUUCCUCAAAGACCAAGUAUUACCAAUUCCUAUAGAGAAAGCAGGCGUAGUUGGUCUGUGUUUUUUCCCUUGGUCAGUCUCUCUUCUUUGUUCCAUUCAAUUAAGUUCAGUCUAUCUGGACUCUGAUGUCAUCUGGCAGGUUCACUAGUAUCUUCUAACCGGUCACGGCAUCUUGUUUGUUUGUUGAUUUUUAUUGAGGAGUUUGAUGGUUACUUCAUUCCUUCGUCAAAAUCUGGCUUUUCUUCAUCGUACUAUGAUUGCUAGAAUGCAUUCCAAGCUCCUUAAUAAAAUUCCGCACACUCUCGUACAAAACAGAGGUUUAGUGGGGAUUAGUGCAAUUUUAUGCUCUUCUACUAACUUUUCCUUUUCAGUUUUUUUCCUUCUACUACAUUUUAUUUUAUUUUAUUCUUUUGUGGUAAUUGAUGCUAAGUUAACCUACCCUAUAUUCAAGGAAUAAUGACAUAUAGAUAAUGGAUUGGUAGGACUUCAAAGAAUCUACGUUAGACUAUAGAAUUCCCAUUCUUACUUUUGUGUUGUACAAUAAUAUAUAUAAAUAUACCAGCAUCUAGUUGUGCGUAAUAAUAUAUAUAAAUAUAUCAGCAUCAAGCUGCGCUUUCUCAUUUUGGUAGAGUUGCAUUGCUCUCAAUUGGGUUUGAAGAGAUUUGGCCGUUAUUUUUCAUAUUUGUGGGCAAAUAAGAGGUUGGUUCUUUCUUUUUGAUAUUGUGCUCUUUUUUAAUAAAUUCUUGGCAAUCAGUAAUUUCAUUGAAGCUACUCACAUUCUCGUACAAAACAAGCUUAGUGGGGAUUAGUGCAAUUGUAUGCUCUUCUACUUCCUUUUUCCUUUUAAGUUUUUUUAAGUUUUUUUCUUUCUACUACUUUUCUUUUUUAUUCUUUUGUGGUAACUGAUGCUAAGUUAACCUGCCCUAUACAUUCUAUACUUUCUUGGUUUCAAUCUCUAUCUCUUUAUGUAUAACUACAAGCCUCUGUCCAUGUCGCAUCUCUACUUGUUUCUUAAUAUUGUGCUAGCUGCAAGAUCUUUGUACUAUUUUCUUUGGUGAAUGACUCAUGAUUGACCAGAUAUUGUUUCAAUUAUUGCUUCAUAUGUAUCCCAAUGACACAUGCAUACCAUAAUAAAGCAAAUUAAAUUCAUGUGGCUGAUAGCUAGUCUCCUUACAUUAUUGAUUAUGUUGACACAAUAUUGGGACGAUCCAAUCGAGAUUAAAUUUAUUAAAAUGUAUUGGUCAUUGGAAGAUUUAGUUAGAAUUUUUUAUGGGUUUGAAUCAAGGAAAGGAAAAGGGAGGUAAACUAAUAAAGGUUGUGGGUCAUUUGCUCACGAUUGAUGGAGGGAUAUAGUGGGACUACAAAGAGGGUUGGAUAUUGGGAGGGGACUGGUUUUUUAACAUACUUGUAAUAUAUAAGAAAUAAAGAUUCUUUAUGUGUUUAAUCCUGACAUUCUAAUGGGUAAUAAUUCACAUUUGUGAAGAAAAUCUGUUUAAAUGGCACACACAAUCCUUUAGUCAGGGCACACUGGUAUUAGUAAGUAACUUGCCUCCUUCGAGAAGCUUGCAGAAUACUAUUUCUAAAGAAUAUUUUCAAAAACAGCAUAAUGAACCUUUCAAUUAAUUUUUUGAGUGGUGUUUUUGUUAUCGGGUCCAAUUAAAAUAUACUUCUAACAUCAUAUAUAUAUGUAUUGAAAACCAAUUCAUACCUAACUUUUUCUUAACAAAUGUUUUCUUUUAAUGUAUCCACUUUAUUUGUCAAUGUUACGGCUUGUAGCUUUCCCAAAAAAAAAAAAAAAAAAAAAAAAAAUUGAUAUUGGAGCUAGGAGGAUUGAAUGGCACACACAAUCCUUUAGUUAAGGCACACACAAUCAUUUAGUCAAGGCACAAUGGCAUUAGUAUUUGUUGCAAAUUUGUGGGUUGUAUGAUGGUCAAGAUGUGGUCUUAUAAAGUUUAUAUGUGCAUUCAUUUUAGUUUUUCAGAUUUUAUAAAAAUAAGGAUAGAUUCAAUGGUGGGUUAACAUCCUAGUCUUUGUUAGUGAAACUUUAAAUAUUUGAGGAGCACCAGGACUGCUAGUUCAUUAUUUGCAAUGUAUUUGGUUUCUGUAUGUUUUCAUGCUUCAUGAUGUACUUUUCCCUCUUCUGAUGGGAAUUUUAAAUUGUGAAGUUGUGAACACAGUCAACUUUAAAUAAUGAUGAUAGUUAUUGCUAUUGUAGCCUCAACAUUGUCAAGAAAAAUUGCCAACUCAAAAUGGUUGGGCUGACAAGAUUAUCUUUUUGUCAUACACUUGACUUGCUUUUAGGCUUGCUAGUUAACAAGCUUCAAUAUUUGUUGAUCAGCUCUAAUAAUAAUUUGGAAGUAAUUUUAUCUUUGAUAGGUUAGUAAUUAAUGAGGAAAAAAAUUAUAAUGUGGGAAGAAACGGGCAAGGUUUCAUCCAUUAGAGAGACAUACAACUUGUGCCACUAGUAGCACAAAUUAAUAUGUUGUUUCAAUUUUUGCAUACUAGUCAUUGCUGGUGCUUUCAACCCAGAAAGGGGUACCAUUGAUCUCUUAUGAGAUAUAUUGAUAAAAAAAUUAAGGUUUAACCAUGGUAGGCUGGGCAUUUUGCAAAUGAACUUUUUUUUUUUUUUUUUCUGGGAGGUCAAUGAGUAUUUAUUUUUAUUGACAUUAUGUUAUACUAAUAUUUAUAGUUGUUUGUACUUGGAGAAUAAAAAAUAUUAUGGAUCAAAAGUGCGCGAGCAUUCAGAGUAAAACUUAAUCCAAGAAAUCUUUUUAUGAUUGAUAUUUUUUCCUGCUCUGAAUCAUAUUUCAAUCUUUAGAUUGCUUGCGUCGAUUGGACCUGCAAAAUUUAUUUCGAUGCAACUUUUAGUAGAUCAAGUGCUAGCACAUCUUCGAGUGGAAAAUAUAGAAGAUAUUGUUGAGUUGUAGAUGAACUGUAAAUAGAUUAGGAGAUCAGUUGAAAUCCCUUUAAUUGAGGGAUUCAGUUAGAUAGAUUGCAUAUAUUAGGAUUGAGUUAGUUUCCUGUUUUGAGUUAGUUUUCUAUUUUUUCUCUUGUAAUCUGUUAUAUAAUAUGGUGUAUUGUCAAUAUGGAGAAGUAUCCAUUUUUCUCAUUAAUAAUAAUUCCUAUUGUACUUCAUGCUAUCAGAGCCUUAGAAUUUUUCCUAGGUUCCUUCUCUUUUUUUUCUAGCCUUCAUCGUUGGGUUCCUUCUUUUACGUAUUCCAACUUUCAUUGCUGGCAUUUCCCUUACUUUCCAUGGAUUUCUUUCCUUUACGAUGGCAACUUUCAUUUUUAGCAAACCUAACUCAUCUGAAGAAUCCAACUCGGUCCAGAAAAUUGGAGAACUACAGAGGAUCCAAUGGAACCAACAAUUAGGAUCCAAUCUUCGAAGCAUGGGACGAGGAAGAUUCUAUGAUUAUGUCCUGGUUGUGGGACUCCAUGGAACCAACAAUUAUUGACACUUGGAUGUUUUUGACCACUGCAAAGGAAAUUUGGGACUGCAUUCAUCGCACCUACUCAAAAGCUCGUAAUGCCGCCUAAGUAUAUUAGAUCAAAGUCAAAGCUAGAUCCACUUAACAAGGAGACAAAUCUAUCACAGAAUAUGCAAAUCUUUUGCAAAAUCUGUGGUAAGAACUAGAUUAUUACCAAGUGAUUAAGAUGAAGCAUCCUGAAGAUGCUGUGAUCUUAAAUAACUUUAUUGAAAAAGAUCGUGUGUAUGAUUUUUUGGCUGGAUUGAGCCUAAAUUGGAUCAGGUCAGGAUUCAAAUCAUUGGCAAGAAAUGUACACCAUCUUUAGAAGAGAAAAUUUCAUUAAUCCGAGCAGAAGAAAGUCGAAGAAUUGCUAUGCUCGAACCACAAACCAUGGACGGGUCAACCCUAGCUGCAAAAACAUAUCAACAAGAGAAAGAAAAAAGUGAUCUGCCUAAACACCAGGGUAGAGAGAACAAGGAUAAUCUCUGAUUUAACAACUGCAAGAAACCGAGGUACACCAAGGAGAUAUGUUGGAAUCUAAAUGGUAAGUCAACAAGCCGAGAGUGGGGAAAAAUGGUGGGGGUAGUAAAGAUCUCAGGCACACAUGACAGAACAGUCCAAAAUUGAGGAAAAUUCAGCAAUAGGAGGGCUUAACAGUGAAGAAAUUGACAAGCUGAGAGGCUUGCUGGGAUCUCUUGACAAACCUUCUGGAGUGUUUUCAUUGGCUCUCUCAGGAUUAGGGCUCAGGGAGGAGGAUUGGACUUGCUAAGGAAAGAAAUGGCCUUUACUACCUUGAUUCAUCUCAGAAGAUUAGGACGCCUUUAUCUUUGUCUUUUCUCAACUCUUCAAAUAAAGAUACCAUCUGGUUGUAUCACCGACACCUUGGUCAUCCAUCUUUUAGGGUUUUAAAAGUCAUGUUUCCUCAUUUGUUCCAAGGAUAAGAUAUUUUUGAGUUUCAUUGUGAUAUUUGCGAAUUGGCAAAGCAUAACCAUGUAUCUUUUCCUAUUAGUAAUAAAAGAAGUUCUUAUAAUUC